UAACCUGCCUUGGAUGGGGAAUAACAGCUGGAAACAGCUGCUAAUACCGCAUAAUGCAGUUGGGUCGCAUGGCUCUGACUGCCAAAGAUUUAUCGCUCUGAGAUGGACUCGCGUCUGAUUAGCUAGUUGGUGGGGCAACGGCCCACCAAGGCGACGAUCAGUAGCCGGACUGAGAGGUUGGCCGGCCACAUUGGGACUGAGACACGGCCCAGACUCCUACGGGAGGCAGCAG
rnacentral:rRNA from 1 species